GACGAACGCUGGCGGCGUGCUUAACACAUGCAAGUCGAACGAAGUGGCGAACGGGUGAGUAACGCGUAAUCAACCUGCCCUUCAGAGGGGGACAACAGUUGGAAACGACUGCUAAUACCGCAUACUGAAGGAGGGGAUUGCGUCUGAUUAGCUAGUUGGAGGGGUAACGGCCCACCCAGGCGAUGAUCAGGAGGCCGUCUGAGAGGGAGAACGGCCACAAUGGGACUUGGACACGGGCCAGACUUCUACGGGAGGCAGCAGUGGGGAAGUGUCCGGCAUGGACGAAAGUCUUACGGAGCAACGCCGCGUGAGUGAUGACGGCCUUCGGGUUGUAAAGCUCUGUUAAUCGGGACGCGGUACCGGAAUAGAAAGCCACGGCUAACUACGUGCCAGCAGCCGCGGUAAUUC
rnacentral:rRNA from 1 species